UAUAAAUAUAAACAUAAUUUGAAUAUAAAUUAUAAAGAAAGUGAACCUACCAUAAAGCUAGAUUAAGCCAGAUUAAUAACAAUUAUGGAAGAAGUAACCCAUAUAAACCCGCAGAUUGCGUGGGGUGCAGGCACAUUGCGCAGGCACAUUAUCGCGGUGCCGACAAUAAACUGCGCGAAAGUACCGAAAAUAAUAAUAGAAAAAUAAAGGAAAACAACUGCCGAUUGUCAAGGAAAGAAAGGCCGAAUAAACAAACCAGGAGAACAAUAAUCAUGAGACCCUCAACCAAAUAAGCCAAAAUGAAUAAGAUCAAAAUCAGAAUCAAGAUAAAACAGACAACACAUACAGUCAAGUAAACCUCAUACAACCAACCAAACACACCAUUGAAUAGUAAUAACUGCUAUUAAUUAACGGGAUAAAUAAAAUACAAGAAAUAAAAUAAAUCAAGUCAAUCAAGAUCAAGUUAGUUGGCAGGGAAGGAAUAGGAUGUGAGCCCGGCACAGUGAAUAAUAAUAGAUAAAUAAGUAAUAAAUAAACAAAUAAGUAAUAAUGAAUUAAUAAGUAAAACAAAACAACGACAACGCAGUCAAGAAAUCGCAAAAUUUAAACAUCAUACUACCAACCGUGUAGAAGGAAUGAAUGAAUUGAAUUCACCCCGAACUCCCCCCCGCACACUCCCGCACGGAAAGUCAUCAGGACCUCGAAAGGCCAACAAGCCCGGCAAGGAUGUACAAAGUCGAGGAGGGAUGGAUUCAACAAUUUAACAAUAAACGUAAACAUAAUUCUAAGUGUUAGGACCACCAGAUGUAACAAGUAUGCAUGGGCUUGUUAAAAGAGGCAGAUAUCAGUUAGGAGCUGAACUACAACUGAAAAAGAAAGAAAGAAGAAAGGGAACAGUAUGCCGUCACAUCAUCAGAAAGAACCCUACAAUUACCAUAGAGCGUCGUGCAUGAGCUGAAUUAAAGAAUAUUAAAGAAGAAAGAGAAUACCAAGAAACUGUCCAAGGAAUAUCAGGGACAUACAGGCAAAAUAGGAUCAAGAAGGCGAUAAUGAAAUGACCAAAAUAGCGAUAAACAGCGAUGACUCGGCACUUCUAAAGCACAAAUAUAAAUUGAAGGAGGGAAAACAUAAAUGAAUACCAUCCACAACCCUCCGCACCAUCAGUACCAUCAUGAAGAUUAAAAUAAGUUCAAUCACAUCAAUUACUUUAAUCAGUCCAGUUCAGAAUGAAGAGAGAAUGAGAGAAUGAACGACAGGACAAUAAAGUGGUUAAUUAAAGAUAUUAAGAAAGAAUAAGAUAGAUAAUAAGACAUAAAUAAUAAAUUGAAGGCUAUUGCCAGCAGCACAUCGUAGAACACUGUAACGCAAAAAACACUGCAAUGCAACGCAGUGCAACGCAACGUAGUGCGACACACCGCGAAGAA